rnacentral:rRNA from 1 species
CCUGGGGAUAACAGGCUUAUCUCCCCCAAGAGUCCACAUCGACGGGGAGGUUUGGCACCUCGAUGUCGGCUCAUCACAUCCUGGGGCUGUAGUAGGUCCCAAGGGUUGGGCUGUUCGCCCAUUAAAGGGGUACGCGAGCUGGGUUCAGAACGUCGUGAGACAGUUCGGUCCCUAUCCGUCGCAGGCGUAGGAAAUUUGAGAAGACCUGUCCUUAG